rnacentral:rRNA from 1 species
AUUGAACGCUGGCGGAAUGCUUUACACAUGCAAGUCGAGCGGCAGCGCGGGGCAACCUGGCGGCGAGCGGCGAACGGGUGAGUAAUGCAUCGGAACAUGUCCAUUUGUGGGGGAUAGCCCGGCGAAAGCCGGAUUAAUACCGCAUGAGCCCGAGAGGGGAAAGUGGGGGACUCGCAAGGGCCUUACGCGAAUGGGUUGGCCGAUGUCCGAUUAGCUAGUUGGUGGGGUAAAGGCUCACCAAGGCGAUGAGCGGUAGCUGGUCUGAGAGGAUGAUCAGCCACACUGGGACUGAGACACGGCCCAGACUCCUACGGGAGGCAGCAGUGGGGAAUUUUGGACAAUGGGGGCAACCCUGAUCCAGCCAUUCCGCGUGAGUGAAGAAGGCCUUCGGGUUGUAAAGCUCUUUUGUCCGGAGCGAAACGGGUGUGGUGAAUAUCCACAUCUACUGACGGUACCGGAAGAAUAAGCACCGGCUAACUACGUGCCAGCCGCCGCAGUAAAAC